AUAAGCACCGGCUAACUACGUGCCAGCAGCCGCGGUAAUACGUAGGGUGCAAGCGUUAUCCGGAAUUAUUGGGCGUAAAGGGCUCGUAGGCGGUUCGUCGCGUCCGGUGUGAAAGUCCAUCGCUUAACGGUGGAUCUGCGCCGGGUACGGGCGGGCUGGAGUGCGGUAGGGGAGACUGGAAUUCCCGGUGUAACGGUGGAAUGUGUAGAUAUCGGGAAGAACACCAAUGGCGAAGGCAGGUCUCUGGGCCGUUACUGACGCUGAGGAGCGAAAGCGUGGGGAGCGAACAGGAUUAGAUACCCUGGUAGUCCACGCCGUAAACGGUGGAUGCUGGAUGUGGGGCCCGUUCCACGGGUUCCGUGUCGGAGCUAACGCGUUAAGCAUCCCGCCUGGGGAGUACGGCCGCAAGGCUAAAACUCAAAGAAAUUGACGGGGGCCCGCACAAGCGGCGGAGCAUGCGGAUUAAUUCGAUGCAACGCGAAGAACCUUACCUGGGCUUGACAUGUUCCCGACAGCCGUAGAGAUAUGGCCUCCCUUCGGGGCGGGUUCACAGGUGGUGCAUGGUCGUCGUCAGCUCGUGUCGUGAGAUGUUGGGUUAAGUCCCGCAACGAGCGCAACCCUCGCCCUGUGUUGCCAGCACGUCAUGGUGGGAACUCACGGGGGACCGCCGGGGUCAACUCGGAGGAAGGUGGGGAUGACGUCAGAUCAUCAUGCCCCUUACGUCCAGGGCUUCACGCAUGCUACAAUGGCCGGUACAACGGGAUGCGACACGGCGACGUGGAGCGGAUCCCUGAAAACCGGUCUCAGUUCGGAUUGGAGUCUGCAACCCGACUCCAUGAAGGCGGAGUCGCUAGUAAUCGCGGAUCAGCAACGCCGCGGUGAAUGCGUUCCCGGGCCUUGUACACACCGCCCGUCAAGUCAUGAAAGUGGGCAGCACCCGAAGCCGGUGGCCUAACCCCUUGUGGGAUGGAGCCGUCUAAGGUGAGGCUCGUGAUUGGGACUAAGUCGUAACAAGGUAGCCGUACCGGAAGGUGCGGCUG
rnacentral:rRNA from 1 species